UUAAGCGACUAAGCGUACACGGUGGAUGCCCUGGCAGUCAGAGGCGAUGAAGGACGUGCUAAUCUGCGAUAAGCGUCGGUAAGGUGAUAUGAACCGUUAUAACCGGCGAUUUCCGAAUGGGGAAACCCAGUGUGAUUCGUCACACUAUCAUUAACUGAAUCCAUAGGUUAAUGAGGCGAACCGGGGGAACUGAAACAUCUAAGUACCCCGAGGAAAAGAAAUCAACCGAGAUUCCCCCAGUAGCGGCGAGCGAACGGGGAGCAGCCCAGAGCCUGAAUCAGUGUGUGUGUUAGUGGAAGCGUCUGGAAAGGCGUGCGAUACAGGGUGACAGCCCCGUACACAAAAAUGCACAUGCUGUGAGCUCGAUGAGUAGGGCGGGACACGUGGUAUCCUGUCUGAAUAUGGGGGGACCAUCCUCCAAGGCUAAAUACUCCUGACUGACCGAUAGUGAACCAGUACCGUGAGGGAAAGGCGAAAAGAACCCCGGCGAGGGGAGUGAAAAAGAACCUGAAACCGUGUACGUACAAGCAGUGGGAGCACGCUUAGGCGUGUGACUGCGUACCUUUUGUAUAAUGGGUCAGCGACUUAUAUUCUGUAGCAAGGUUAACCGAAUAGGGGAGCCGAAGGGAAACCGAGUCUUAACUGGGCGUUAAGUUGCAGGGUAUAGACCCGAAACCCGGUGAUCUAGCCAUGGGCAGGUUGAAGGUUGGGUAACACUAACUGGAGGACCGAACCGACUAAUGUUGAAAAAUUAGCGGAUGACUUGUGGCUGGGGGUGAAAGGCCAAUCAAACCGGGAGAUAGCUGGUUCUCCCCGAAAGCUAUUUAGGUAGCGCCUCGUGAAUUCAUCUCCGGGGGUAGAGCACUGUUUCGGCAAGGGGGUCAUCCCGACUUACCAACCCGAUGCAAACUGCGAAUACCGGAGAAUGUUAUCACGGGAGACACACGGCGGGUGCUAACGUCCGUCGUGAAGAGGGAAACAACCCAGACCGCCAGCUAAGGUCCCAAAGUCAUGGUUAAGUGGGAAACGAUGUGGGAAGGCCCAGACAGCCAGGAUGUUGGCUUAGAAGCAGCCAUCAUUUAAAGAAAGCGUAAUAGCUCACUGGUCGAGUCGGCCUGCGCGGAAGAUGUAACGGGGCUAAACCAUGCACCGAAGCUGCGGCAGCGACGCUUAUGCGUUGUUGGGUAGGGGAGCGUUCUGUAAGCCUGCGAANACUAUGUGUUGUUGGGUAGGGGAGCGUUCUGUAAGCCUGUGAAGGUGUACUGUGAGGUAUGCUGGAGGUAUCAGAAGUGCGAAUGCUGACAUAAGUAACGAUAAAGCGGGUGAAAAGCCCGCUCGCCGGAAGACCAAGGGUUCCUGUCCAACGUUAAUCGGGGCAGGGUGAGUCGACCCCUAAGGCGAGGCCGAAAGGCGUAGUCGAUGGGAAACAGGUUAAUAUUCCUGUACUUGGUGUUACUGCGAAGGGGGGACGGAGAAGGCUAUGUUGGCCGGGCGACGGUUGUCCCGGUUUAAGCGUGUAGGCUGGUUUUCCAGGCAAAUCCGGAAAAUCAAGGCUGAGGCGUGAUGACGAGGCACUACGGUGCUGAAGCAACAAAUGCCCUGCUUCCAGGAAAAGCCUCUAAGCAUCAGGUAACAUCAAAUCGUACCCCAAACCGACACAGGUGGUCAGGUAGAGAAUACCAAGGCGCUUGAGAGAACUCGGGUGAAGGAACUAGGCAAAAUGGUGCCGUAACUUCGGGAGAAGGCACGCUGAUAUGUAGGUGAAGUCCCUCGCGGAUGGAGCUGAAAUCAGUCGAAGAUACCAGCUGGCUGCAACUGUUUAUUAAAAACACAGCACUGUGCAAACACGAAAGUGGACGUAUACGGUGUGACGCCUGCCCGGUGCCGGAAGGUUAAUUGAUGGGGUUAGCGCAAGCGAAGCUCUUGAUCGAAGCCCCGGUAAACGGCGGCCGUAACUAUAACGGUCCUAAGGUAGCGAAAUUCCUUGUCGGGUAAGUUCCGACCUGCACGAAUGGCGUAAUGAUGGCCAGGCUGUCUCCACCCGAGACUCAGUGAAAUUGAACUCGCUGUGAAGAUGCAGUGUACCCGCGGCAAGACGGAAAGACCCCGUGAACCUUUACUAUAGCUUGACACUGAACAUUGAGCCUUGAUGUGUAGGAUAGGUGGGAGGCUUUGAAGUGUGGACGCCAGUCUGCAUGGAGCCGACCUUGAAAUACCACCCUUUAAUGUUUGAUGUUCUAACGUUGACCCGUAAUCCGGGUUGCGGACAGUGUCUGGUGGGUAGUUUGACUGGGGCGGUCUCCUCCUAAAGAGUAACGGAGGAGCACGAAGGUUGGCUAAUCCUGGUCGGACAUCAGGAGGUUAGUGCAAUGGCAUAAGCCAGCUUGACUGCGAGCGUGACGGCGCGAGCAGGUGCGAAAGCAGGUCAUAGUGAUCCGGUGGUUCUGAAUGGAAGGGCCAUCGCUCAACGGAUAAAAGGUACUCCGGGGAUAACAGGCUGAUACCGCCCAAGAGUUCAUAUCGACGGCGGUGUUUGGCACCUCGAUGUCGGCUCAUCACAUCCUGGGGCUGAAGUAGGUCCCAAGGGUAUGGCUGUUCGCCAUUUAAAGUGGUACGCGAGCUGGGUUUAGAACGUCGUGAGACAGUUCGGUCCCUAUCUGCCGUGGGCGCUGGAGAACUGAGGGGGGCUGCUCCUAGUACGAGAGGACCGGAGUGGACGCAUCACUGGUGUUCGGGUUGUCAUGCCAAUGGCACUGCCCGGUAGCUAAAUGCGGAAGAGAUAAGUGCUGAAAGCAUCUAAGCACGAAACUUGCCCCGAGAUGAGUUCUCCCUGACUCCUUGAGAGUCCUGAAGGAACGUUGAAGACGACGACGUUGAUAGGCCGGGUGUGUAAGCGCAGCGAUGCGUUGAGCUAACCGGUACUAAUGAACCGUGAGGCUUAACCUU
rnacentral:rRNA from 1 species